CUAUCGAAACCUCAACGAGUACACUGGAAACUAGAAAAGCAGCCAAUCCGCUGCCGCAGACGAAGAAGUCUCCAACCAGAACGGUUGCCCCUUUUUCAAAUCCAAGUACAAAGAAAAAAGAAACUGCUGUGCACAGUGAGACAGGCGAGGAAAAAGGACCAAUCAGGAACAAAAGGUGGCACCCAAAGAACGAGACGAGAUACAUGACUGAAGCUUUGACACAAUCGUCAGGUGUUUCACCUGAGCCGCGGGAACCUUCUACUACAGCUGGAGCCGGAGGUAUCUUCUCGCCCCAUUUUGAACA